rnacentral:lncRNA from 1 species
GAUUAGUGCAAACCCAGGAUGUGUCAUCAGCUUAGGAUUCUGUUAUUUACUUAAUUUGAGCCUAAUGAUAUGAAACAUCGUUGUAAUGUUGAAGUUUUCUUAUCCUUUUCAAGGUGCUUCAAUUCCCUGAGGAAAGAAGAAUAGUCAAGUAUCAUUCAAAACCUUUCAAGGCUCACAAAGAGCAUAUGGAUUCUAGAUGUCAAUACAUACAUGACUAGAACUUACCUGGAGACACACAGCCAGCAAGAUGAGCAUCUGGAGCAGAGAUAUGAAGGCUAUGGAACUUCCUCAACAGGUACUGAGAGAGGACGAAGGCUUCACGAGCGUGUUUGAAACCAAGACUUGAUAGGAAUUUUACUUUAACGGAAGAUAGCGGUGAGGGCUUGAACACUAAGGAAUUAAUGAGAGAUCAGCCCCUUUAGCGACUCAAAGCAUAUUAUAACUCCAGCUGGUCAAAAAGAGAGGAAAUAAAUAAUAUAACAGGAACAACUGGAAGAGCAAGUGCAGCAUCAGGUUGGUGCAUUUCUUCUGAUCAAAAGGUCGAAUUGCAACUGGUCUUUGAAGAGUGUGCUGGUGACAGUGUGCAACCUUUGCGGUAGCUCCUGGACUGGCCCUAGACUGCUGUCAAAUUAAACCAGCACUGUAAAGAAGAGAGCAAGUUGAAUGAAGUUGAAUGAAGGGGCAUCUUAAUUCCAAUCCUGGCUCUAAUGCUGACUGUAAGCAUGACCCCGGAUGAGUUAUUCACUCUCUCAGUCUCAGUCUCCUCAUCCACAAAGCAGGGAUCACAAUAAAUGAAUAGCACCUUUCACAGA